CCUGGCUCAGAUUGAACGCUGGCGGCAGGMCUAACACAUGCAAGUCGAACGGUAACAGGAAGCAGCUUGCUGCUUCGCUGACGAGUGGCGGACGGGUGAGUAAUGUCUGGGAAGCUGCCUGAUGGAGGGGGAUAACUACUGGAAACGGUAGCUAAUACCGCAUAAUGUCGCAAGACCAAAGAGGGGGACCUUCGGGCCUCUUGCCAUCGGAUGUGCCCAGAUAGGAUUAGCUUGUUGGUGGGGUAACGGCUCACCAAGGCGACGAUCCCUAGCUGGUCUGAGAGGAUGACCAGCUACACUGGAACUGAGACACGGUCCAGACUCCUACGGGAGGCAGCAGUGGGGAAUAUUGCACAAUGGGCGCAAGCCUGAUGCAGCCAUGCCGCGUGUAUGAAGAAGGCC
rnacentral:rRNA from 1 species